GGACCCGCACAAGUAGUGGAGCAUGUGGUUUAAUUCGAAGAUACGCGCAGAACCUUACCAACACUUGACAUGUUCGUCGCGACUUUAAGAGAUUAGAGUUUUCGGUUCGGCCGGACGAAACACAGGUGCUGCAUGGCUGUCGUCAGCUCGUGUCGUGAGAUGUUGGGUUAAGUCCCGCAACGAGCGCAACCCUCACUUUUAGUUGCCAUCAUUAAGUUGGGCACUCUGAAAGAACUGCCAGUGAUAAGCUGGAGGAAGGUGGGGAUGACGUCAAGUCCUCAUGGCCCUUACGUGUUGGGCUACACACGUGCUACAAUGGUAUCUACAACAGGAAGCAAGACUGCGAGGUCAAGCAAAUCCUUAAAAGAUACCUCAGUUCGGAUUGCACUCUGCAACUCGAGUGCAUGAAGCUGGAAUUACUAGUAAUCG
rnacentral:rRNA from 1 species